rnacentral:rRNA from 1 species
CUUGAACGCUGGCGGCAGGCCUAACCCAUGCAAGUCGAACGAGUGGCGGACGGGUGAGUAAUGUCUGGGAAACUGCCUGCUGGAGGGGGAUAACUACUGGAAACGGUAGCUAAUACCGCAUACCAUCGGAUGUGCCCAGAUGGGAUUCGCUAGUAGGUGGGGUAAAGGCUAACCUAGGCGAAGAUCCCUAGCUGGUCUGAGAGGAUGACCAGCCACACUGGAACUGCGAAACGGUCCAGACUACUACGAGAGGCAGCAGUGGGGAAUAUUGCACAAUGUGCGCAAGCCUGAUGCAGCCAUGCCGCGUGUAUGAAGAAGGCCUUCGGGUUGUAAAGUACUUUCAGCGGGGAGGCGUUACCCGCAGAAGAAGCACCGGCUAACUCCGUGCCAGCAGCCGCGGUAAUAC